rnacentral:lncRNA from 1 species
AAGCAUUAAUUUCUUGAAAGUUCGUUUUGAGUUGUAAUUGUUUGGCUUUUCUAGAGUGAGUAAAGGUUGUUGAGUGAUUCUACUGCAGUGGGUUUGGUAUUGAGCAAAGAAUUGCUCUUGAGUGAAAAAGAGAUUUAUAAAGAGCAAAGGCUUGCUCUAAGAUUGUAAGGGUUUUAAUCUUCACCCAAAGAAGAUUUGAUAGUGGAGUUGAACUCUCAAGGUGGGCCUUGAGGAGAGGACGUAGGCUUGAGAUAGCUGAACCUCUAUAAAUCCUUGUGUUGAUUAUCUUCUUCCUUAUUGCCUUCUAUUUUGUCUUUUUGCUUUAAAAUUUUUAUAAACCCAAUUCACCCCCCCCCUCUUGGGUUGCUUCAAGGGACAACAAGUGGUAUCAGAGCUAAGUCUCCCCAUCUUGAAGAUAUAACUAUCUUGGAGGCAAGAUCGAAUGGCAACCCUCAAUUCUCAAGAAGGUCAAUCGGUUGUGAGACCACCUUUCUUUGAUAGAAAUGACUUUCUAUAUUGGAAAAAUAGAAUGUAUUAUUUCCUCAAAUCGGAAGGAGUUAAUUUGUGGGACAUUGUAGAAAAUGGCCCUUUCUUUCCCACAAGAGUGAUAGAUGGAAACCAAGAGCAAAAACCUAAGAGUGAAUGGAGUGAACUAGAGAAGAGAAGAGUAGCCCUUAAUGACAAAGCCAUUCACAUAUUGUUUUGUGCUCUUAGUAAAAGUGAGUACAAUAAAGUAUGCAUGAAGUCUACCGCCAAGGAAAUUUGAGAUGCUUUGGUUGUCACUCAUGAAGGUACCAAUCAAGUCAAGGAAAACAAGAUGGAAUCCCUCAUCUAUCAAUAUGAGUUAUUCAAGAUGAAAUCCAAUGAAACUAUUAGCCAAAUGUAUGAUAGGUUCAUUGAGAUCAUUGGAGGGAUGAAAUCUCUUGGGAAGACUUUCACAAAUGAAGAAUUGGUGAAGAAAAUCCUUAGAUGUCUACCUAAAGAAUGGCUACCAAAGGUAACUUCUUUAAACGAUGCCAAAGAUUUGAGCAAAGUGCAAUUGGAUGAACUCUUGGGGAACCUCAUUGACUAUGAGAUGACUCUAAAGAGAGAGCAAGUGGAGGAACCUAGCAAAAUGAAAAAGAACAUUGCUCUAAGGGUAGCCUCCGAAGAUACUAGUGAGGAAGAAGAAGAAAUAAGUGAGGAAGAAUUAGCCUUGGUAACUAGGAGAAUAAGGAAGUUGCUUUUCCAAAAUAAAAAGUUCAUCCCAAGGAAGAAUUUUAGAAAGGAAAAAGGUGAAUCAAACAAAAAGGAAGUAGUCAUUUGCUAUGAGUGCAAUAAGCCGGGUCACUACAAAGUGGAUUGUCCCAAGUUGAAGAAGCCUAUCAAAAAGUUCAAGAAGAAGGCCUUCAAAGCAACAUGGGAUGAGUCAAGUGAUACCAAAGAGGAGGACGUUGGUGAUGAAAUUGCCAACAUGUGCUUCAUGACUCUAGAGGAAAGCUCCGAUGAGGUAACUAUACUUGAUGACUCUACUUUAAAUGAUGAUGUUGUUGAGUUUUCAUAUGAUGAACUUGUAGGUGCUUUAAAAUUGAUGAAUGAUGAGCUUGAAAAGAGUCAUAAGAAGAAUAAAAUUUUGAAAUGUGAGUUAGCUAGCUUAAAAAGGGAAAGUGAGAACUCACCUAAGGAACAUUUACCCUCAAAUAAUCCUUCACAAAAAUCCUUAGAUGAGCUCUCAUUAGAAAAUAAAAAUUUGAAAAAUGAAAUCCUUGAGUUGAAAAAUUCUCUUUCAAAGUUUUUAAGAGGCAAGGACAAACUUGAUGAAAUAUUGGGCUCUCAAAGGUCUCCUAGCAUCAAGUAUGGCCUUGGCUAUGAAAAAUCAACUUAAGCAAACUCUUCUAAAACUGUUUUUGUUAAAGCUACUAAUUUAAAAGAACCUAAGGUAUCUAGCUCUAAUGACAACAUACCUAAAGUCUCUAGUAGUAAUAUGUCUAUAAGGAAUGCACAUGUACACAAAUCCACUAGUUACAAUACUCAUAUAAGACACACACCUAGGCAAUUUGCAUAUAAAAGAAAUGAUCAUUAUAGAACACACACUUCUAGUUCACGCAAUCACCACUCUCAUCAUAUCUCUUUCUCACAUGCUUUUAAUAAACAAGGGAGAACUAGCCACAUGAGAACUCAAACACACUCACUCACCUAUGGACCUAGAAUAAGGAAGUUCAAUGGUCAUUGUCACUAUUGUGGCAAGUUUGGCCAUACCAACUAUAGGUGUACUAUUAGAAAAUUACAUCUUGGAUAUGAUAGCAUAUGGAAAUUUGAAAAUAAAAUGACUAACCCCCAAGGACCCAAGUACAUUUGGGUACCUAAAAGUGUUUGAAUCUCUUUUCUUUAGGUUUACUUGAAAUCCUUAAAAAUUAAAAGCAAAUGGUAUCUAGAUAGUGGAUGUACAAGGCACAUGACCGGAAAUUCAAGUCACUUCAUCUCUCUUGAAAAGAAAGACGGAAGUGGACAAGUAACUUUUGGAGAUAAUGGAAAAGGUAAAAUUGUUGGAAUAGGUAAAGUCGGUAAGGAAAACUCUCCUAUUCUUGAUAAAGUUCUCUUAGUUGAUGGUUUGAAGCAUAAUUUAUUAAGUGUAAGUCAAUUAUGUGAUAAAAGUUGUAGAGUUAUCUUUGAACCAAAAUCAUGUUUUGCCUCUAGAAUGUCGGAUAACAAAAUAUUGUUUGUUGGUGAAAGAGUUGAAAAUAUCUAUCUUAUUGAUUUACAAGCUAUGACUAACCUAGAUAUGAAGUGUUUUGUUUCUAUUAGUGAUAACUCUUGGAUUUGGCAUAAAAGGCUUUCUCAAAACUUCGGCUUCCGAAAGCAAGGGACAGAGACGAAAGUUCCACAUGUUCGGCCGCCGAACUUUGACUUUAGGCCGCCAAAAGUCCAUUUUUAAAGGAUGAUGUUCUUCAGCUCAAAUAGUUCGGCCGCCGAACUUUAGCCUUAGGCCGCCGAACCUGAGUUUUUUUGAGCACGAUAUAACAAUUAUUUCUGAACAUAAACGGCUCUAUUUGCAUUUAAUUCACCUCCAACAGCCAUAUUUAUGACUGAACUAUAAAUACAAUGAGUUUUUGAUAUGAAAAGGUUACAACAACCAUCUAAGCAAAUACUUAUUGUGAUUAAAGCUUUUUUCACUCUCUCUCUCUCUCAAAAUCUUGAGCCAAAGCAUUAAUUUCUUGAAAGCUCAUUUUGAGUUGUAAUUGUUUGGCUUUUCUAGAGUGAGUAAAGGUUGUUGAGUGAUUCUACUGCAGUGGGUUUGGUAUUGAGCAAAGAAUUGCUCUUGAGUGAAAAAGAGAUUUGUAAAGAGCAAAGGCUUGCUCUAAGAUUGUAAGGGUUUUAAUCUUCACCCAAAGAAGAUUUGAUAGUGGAGUUAAACUCUCAAGGUGGGCCUUGAGGAGAGGACGUAGGCUUGAGAUAGUUGAACCUCUAUAAAUCCUUGUGUUGAUUAUCUUCUUCCUUAUUGCCUUCUAUUUUGUCUUUUUGCUUUAAAAUUUUUAUAAACCCAAUUCACCCCC